rnacentral:RNase_P_RNA from 1 species
UGACCGAGAAAUGUACUCGCGCGGUAUUGCGCCGUAAGGUAUUACCGUGAGGAAAGUCCGGGCUUCACAGAGCAUGGGUAACGGAUAACGUCCGCCGAAGGCGACUUCAGGGAAAGUGCAACAGAAAUAAACCGCCGCUUAUGCGGUAAGGAUGGAAAGGCGAGGUAAGAGCUCACCGGCUCUCGCGGUAACGCUGAGCAAAUGUAAACCCUACCCGAAGCAACUCCCCUUAGAGACUGAUCUUUCACUGCCUGCUCGGCAGAUGUCUCGGGGCGGCUAGAGCCGUGCGGUAACGUACGGAAUAGAUAGAUGAGUACAGGUCCUUGUUUUAGCAUCUCAAGGACAACAGAACCCGGCUUAUAAUUUCGGUCUGCUC